rnacentral:rRNA from 1 species
GACGAACGCUGGCGGCGUGCUUAACACAUGCAAGUCGAACGGAAACGCCCUGCUUUUGUGCUGUGCUCGAGUGGCGAACGGGUGCGUAACACGUGAGUAACCUGCCCUUGACUUUGGUAUAACUUCAGGUAACUGGGGCUACUACAGUAUAGCAUCUCCUGCUGCAUGGUGGGGGUUGGAUCGUUUCGGCGGUUGGGGAUGGACUCGCGGCUUAUCAGCUUGUUGGUUGGGUAGUGGCUUACCAAGUCUUGGACGGGUAGCCGGCCUGAGAGGGUGGACGGGGACAUGGGGACUGAGAUACGGACCAGAGUCCUACGGGAGGCAGCAGUGGGGAAUAUUGCACAAUGGGAGGAAGCCUGAUGCAGAAGCGCCCGGUGCGGAAUGACGGCCUGCGGGGUGAGAAACGCUUUAGCCUGUGACGAAGCGGGAGUGACGGUAAUGGGUAAAGAAGCACCGGCUAACUACGUG